AAGUCGUAACAAGGUUUCCGUAGGUGAACCUGCGGAAGGAUCAUUACCUGAUUGGGGGUAGACUCGGUGCGACGAGCUCUCGCUCGCGUCCGCCGGUUGGCCCCCUGAGGCGCUGCCCUCGAACCCUUGGCUACAAGCACCAACCUUGAUAUCUCGGCGGAGACGUCCGCCGGCAGAAUCCCCCCAAAAACCUGUCCUCGGCUUAACCCUUCUGAUACUAACGUCAAAUCGUUACAACUUUCAACAAUGGAUCUCUUGGUUCUG
rnacentral:misc_RNA from 1 species